AACAAACGGCGACAUUUUAGUCUCUGUGCUUAAAACUAAAAUAAACCUAAAAAAAAACCUAACACUUUCAUCAAAAACAAAACCUAAACUAAAACUCCCUCUGCGCCGCUCGACGAAACCUCUCCUCAGACUCUCCAACCCCCACUCAACUCCGAUGACGAUGGAGGGAGAGGAUGGGGUUACCAGGUACGUCUUUCUUUUAUUAUUAACUGUUUCUUUAGUAAAUAAUCAAUAAAUGUAAGGCGAAAAAAGAAAGAAAGAAAAAGAGGACGAUCUGCGAAUGGAAAAGUAAAACCGAAAGUCACCUUUCAAUCUUUUUUCUUUGUAUUCUGAAUGCGUAAAAAAGGGAAAAAAAGCCCCCCUUUCAGUACAUCUUUGGGUUUUUUAUAACCUGAAAAAACAAAAGAAAAGAAAAUGAAUACAAUUUUUUUUCUUUUUCUCUGCCUUCCUUUUGUUGCUGUUUGUUUGUUGCAUUUUGCUGUCGAUUUGUUGUUUGUCGCGGGUACGGAGGAGUCCAGCUGGAGUGUACGGAGUCGCGUGGGGGAGGUCGAUGCUUGGCAGUGGUGCAGCACGCACGAAGCAGAGCCUGGCUUGACUGUUGCGCAAAGGAUUUCAGAAACCCUAGGUGUUUCUGGAAUUUUUUUAAAAUCGGGCCAUAGUGUAUUGGGCCGAGUUGGUUUGCUGGGCUUAGAACUGAGUUUAGAGAGGGUUUUGGGCUAGGUUGAUUUGGGUUGAUGUAAUUGGGUAUGGGUUUUAGAUGUAAAUGGACAUUAAGUGGACAUUUUAUUUAUUUUAUAUAUAUGUUUUCAUUAUUAGUUUUUGGUUUUAA